GAUGAACGCUGGCGGCGUGCUUAACACAUGCAAGUCGAACGAAGCACUUUAUUUGAUUUCCUUCGGGACUGAUUAUUUUGUGACUGAGUGGCGGACGGGUGAGUAACGCGUGGGUAACCUGCCUUGUACAGGGGGAUAACAGUUGGAAACGGCUGCUAAUACCGCAUAAGCGCACGGCAUCGCAUGAUGCAGUGUGAAAAACUCCGGUGGUAUAAGAUGGACCCGCGUUGGAUUAGCUAGUUGGUGAGGUAACGGCCCACCAAGGCGACGAUCCAUAGCCGACCUGAGAGGGUGACCGGCCACAUUGGGACUGAGACACGGCCCAAACUCCUACGGGAGGCAGCAGUGGGGAAUAUUGCACAAUGGGCGAAAGCCUGAUGCAGCGACGCCGCGUGAGCGAAGAAGUAUUUCGGUAUGUAAAGCUCUAUCAGCAGGGAAGAUAAUGACGGUACCUGACUAAGAAGCACCGGCUAAAUACGU
rnacentral:rRNA from 1 species